rnacentral:rRNA from 1 species
UAAGGAAUAUUGCUCAAUGGGAGAAAUCCUGAAGCAGCAACGCCGCGUGGAGGAUGAAGGGUCUAUGACUUGUAAACUCCUGUAAGAAGGAAAAAAUUCCCAUUUGAUGGGAGAUGAUGGUACUUCUGGAGUAAGCCCCGGCUAACUACGUGCCAGCAGCCGCGGUAAUACGUAGGGGGCAAGCGUUGUCCGGAUUUACUGGGUGUAAAGGGUGCUCAGGCGGAUUUGUAAGUCAGAGGUGAAAUCUUACAGCUUAACUGUGAAACUGCCUUUGAUACUGCAAGCCUAGAGUAUGGAAGAGAGUGAUAGAAUAUCUGGUGUAGCAGUGAAAUGCGUAGAUAUCAGAUAGAACACCAAUGGCGAAGGCAGUCACUUGGUCCAUUACUGACGCUAAAGUACGAAAGCGUGGGUAGCAAACA